rnacentral:rRNA from 1 species
CACGUAGGGUGCAAGCGUUGUCCGGAAUCAUUGGGCGUAAAGAGCUCGUAGGCGGUUCGGUAAGUCGGGUGUGAAAACUCUGGGCUCAACCCAGAGAGGCCACCCGAUACUGCCGUAACUGGAGUGCGGUAGGGGAGUGGGGAAUUCCUGGUGUAGCGGUGAAAUGCGCAGAUAUCAGGAGGAACACCAAUGGCGAAGGCAGCUCGCUGGAACGGUACUGACGCUGAGGCGCGAAAGCGUGGGGAGCAAACAGG